CUACGGUACACUAGGGAAUCGACGCUACGUUUGAAACUGCCGCCAAAAGUGCGGAUAUGGGACAAGCCAACAUUCUCUCCCGACCGUUCGAUGCUUUCGAGAUCACCUGGCACACGAUCCAAUUUCAACGUGAUUUCAACACGUGCACCGUAGACCCGCAACGUGUUGGUCGGCCGUCCCUCGCGAACACAAGGCUACGAAUACCGCUACGAGAGGACUACUUUCGCCGUGGGGCGGUACACGAGGUGGCAACGUCGCCGUCUGCGAGGUGAUCGUACGAGAGAGCUGAUUGGUCGCGUUCGCCUCGCGAUAGCUAGCCGCGAGCAGAGGUUUGUUAGACAGGGGCGUACGCAGGAACCGUCGGACGCCCACCCUGUCGAAGAGGGAUAAACGAUGCACACCUCCUACUUUCUCUGGCCUUCCUUCCCCUCUUUUUACCAGUCCCCCUCGGUCAGGGCCACGCUUUCAGCGGGGUCGCGAACGCUGUUACCUUGUUGUUAUAAGGCUAUACUCUCUCUUCCUCCAAUCACUAUGAACACUGAUUGUCAGAUGACGAUCCCGAGAAGGGAGGAGCUGUACUCCCUCGCUAUGCCGCCGCCCUUCUUUUCAUAAUAACCGUGCUUCACGAAUCUCUUUAGUUGGCCAUGUAUGAAGCCCGUGAAUAGAUGUGGUCGUAGGCUGAAGCAGGCUGAAGGCUGCUCGCCACUCAACUUACUUUCAACAAUAUUUUUUUUACUUCUUUCUCUUUUAUGUGGAGCCUUUGGUUGAUGUAUUGAUCUGGUCAAUAUAUAUAUAUAUGUAUGUUUCCAAUAGCAAUAGUUACAGAAGCUAUAAAUUUAAAAAUAAGUUCAAUGAUAAUUAUUCAUUAAGGAAUAUUAUAAUAAUGAAAGGAAGGGAUUGCAUUGGGGAUUGAUGUAUAUACAAUAUAUAUGUAUGUUUCCAAUAGUAAUAGUUAUAGAAUCUAUAAAUUUAAAAAUAAGUUCAAUAAUAAUUAUUCAUUAAAGAAUAUUAUAAUAAUGAAAGGAAGGUUGCAUUGGGGAUUGAUGUAUAUACAAUAUAUAUGUAUGUUUCCAAUAGUAAUAGUUACAGAAUCUAUAAAUUUAAAAAUAAGUUCAAUGAUAAUUAUUCAUUAAAGAAUAUUAUAAUAAUGAAAGGAAGGUUGCAUUGGGGAUUGAUGUAUAUACAAUAUAUAUGUAUGUUUCCAAUAGUAAUAGUUACAGAAUCUAUAAAUUUAAAAAUAAAUUCAAUGAUAAUUAUUCAUUAUUCUUAAUUUCAUGUAAAACAUAUAAGGAAUAUUAUAUAAUGAAAGCAAGGUUGCAUUGGGGAUUGAUGUAUAUACAAUAUAACGAUAGUCCAAUAUGGCUUUUAUUAAGUCAAUGGUAAUGACUAAUGACAGUGAAAGAAAUUAAUCUCUAACGUCGAUUUUCUGUUGACUGUACGACGGUAGUGGCAAUAAAUUAAAUAAUUAUUUAAAUAACAGAGUAAUCUAUAUAGUAGAUUGAUUCUAAUAUACAUUAACAAUUAAUACAAUUUAUAAAUAAAUCCGUUUUUCAAGUCCUAAUAAUAAAGUUAACUCGUGUCAUGUGUGGAUUGUCACAUGUAACAUACCUAGAGAUAAGUAUUCACAGUACUUGACGAUUUUGUUACAUGAAAUGAAGCGUAACAAAUUUAAAAGUUUAAAAUGUACGAACUUUCUGUUCCUAUAUUCUGAGAACGUUUUACGCAAAACUGAAGAUGGUAUUAGUUUAUACUAAACCGUAACGAUGUUCAAUUUUUCUAACUUUAAUUGUCCUAUUUGAUUAUGGCAUUUAAAAUAGCUAACGUGCUGUAAGAUUCAUGAAAAUUUACAAUGUAGAGAACGAACGAGUAACAAUAAUUUUUGAUAACUGCGUUUGAUUUACAAGGGUACACUUAAAUCGCGUCACUGAAUUUCAAGGCUGAACUCUGCGACAAUCUUAUAUACAAAUAGAACACAUUUACUCUCGUGUAGUAAAUAAAAUUGAAAUGCUGUACAUAAGAUAUUUACAUGAAAUUUAAAUUUAAAAGUGUAAUUGAUUUACACUUGUGCAAUAAAACCAUACUGAAUGCCACAUAAUUGUUCGUUGGUGCGCGCAAGUUGACCUGAAACGUUUGUACUAAAAAUCAGCUACACGUACAGUGAAGUUUCAAGUGAACAGAGAUUAUACAAUUAAACAAUUGAAUAUUUUCAACCGCGGUUUGAAUAGUACGGAUAUUGUACAAUUGCCGUCAAAUAUGAACUCCUUUACAGUCCACCGCCUGAUCUCUCUACAGUGACUUUUUUCCUCAAUACGUCCUUGUCGUGCUCCGCUUCCUCCAUUUCUGCCAUUCUUGCGAACCGUGAAUACGCCACGUGUCCAGACUUGAUAGCCGACAUCAUCUGCAUGAAACGAUAAUAAUUAAUUAUACGGAUAGAACAUAGAAAGGAUAAAAGAAAAAAAUAAAUUUUCAAACAGUGGUAACUUUGAUCUGGCACCAAGAGCAGCAUGACACUAAAAUAUUUUGCACCAGAGGAGAAACAAGCAAGUGUUAUACUACGUCAGACAGAAGGCACUGUGUUAGACGAGUAUUUUUAUUAACAAACUGUCCGUGCAAAGAGAAAAUAUUGUCCAAUUUGUUAUAUGAAAACAGACAAGAAGAGUUAUGGGUAAAUCUAUCUUGUACCCAACAGGUCUUUCCAUUUUUUUUUUCUUCUAAUAUUAAUUUUGAACGAUGAUAGAAAACAGGAUUUUUGUGUAGGAUGACGUAAAAAAAAGAAUAAAAUAAAAUACAAUGAAAGGAGGUGUUAAAACAAUAAAACUUGUAACGACAACUCUGCGAGCGAACUUCCACAGACCUGAAGGUAUUCGUCCAACUCGACCUGACCGUUCAUAUUAGUGUCGAUUUCGCGCAGUAUUUCAUGAAGCUCUUCACCAGGUACUUCCUUGUCACCGAAUAACUGCGAACGGUAAAAAGAAAUACUAAUUAAAUACGUGAUUCUCUGAUUUACCUGUAAGUAAUCUUGCAGUUCCAUUUGCCCAUUGUAACUGAGAUCAAUUUCAUUGAGCAAAGUGUGCAUCUCAUCUUCCUUCAGUUUUAAGCCAAGUACCUGGACAUUGAUAAUUAAAGGUGUGACAGAAAAAAAAAGUAAAAAAAAAAAA